GGUAUUGAUCUAGUGUUUUGUGAGAUGUCGAUGGCAGUUAGUCAGCCAGGUUCCCAGCAUUCCCUGCCCCAAGUCACGUGACCGUGGUUGUUGUUGUCUGUGUGCGAGAAGCCAAGUACAGGGGGUCGUAUUUUCAGGGAAGAAGUAGGGGGAUGUUUAGCGUGGAUGUUGUUUUUAUUAAGUAAACACAAACCAUUGACACUAGUUUUAAAUAUUUGCGGAAUCGCACUUUUUGCUGAUACUUAGCAACUCGCUCCUGUAAACAGCAACGCUAUCGAUGCUGUCAAACAAAUAACGCAUGUCUGUUUGUUUUUCCCUCUAAUUUAUCCUCGUUGCUUUCUUUGUCGUUAAUGCCCAACAGGAGUACGUUUAAUAAUAUAAAAGCAUGCCACGCAAGAGACGAAAUCCCUCGGGGGAAGAGAUGGCGGUUUCUAGGCGGACGAGGCAACGCACCAAUACCAAUAAAAACACCAGCCAGUCUAUAGUCAUUUCUGACAGCGAGAGUGAGGAAGGAGAUAAUGGAUUGGUGCAAAGGCAGGACGGACGUUCGCGGGACAGAGAGAAAACAAAGCGACACAGCCCAGAGAUGACAGAGGAACAGAUGCUGGACCUGGCAGUGAGAAUGAGUGAACAGGAGGCCAAUCAAAGACACGAGGAGGAGGAGGCCCUGAAGAAGGCUAUUGAAGAGAGUCUUUGUGAAAAUGGCGUUUCCCAUAAAGCUGACCAGAGCAGACCAGAGGGUGUUCAACAAAACCCAGGGAAUAAAGGAAAAGAAAAAAUGCACUCCACUCAACCAGAUGCCAGUUUUCCAGGAGACUCCCAGUGGGAAUCCGUUCUUGGGAAUGCUAAUCCUAAAGAGCGAAGCCCCGUUCUCGUCUUGGAGAAGCUGAGCCAAGAUGUGGUUGGCAGCUGCCAGGAGUUGGGUUUUGUCGCCUGUUCACAAGAAUGUCCUUUGACAGUAACACCUCUGUCUGCUAAAAGAACGAGCGAGGGGAACCGAUUGAAACGCAAGUUGAGCUUCCGAAGGACAGAUCCGGUAGACAGCUAUCGAGCCGACGGAGGGGAGGGCUCGUCCGCAAACCUGUGCAGCGGCAAGAGAAGAGGGCAGCAGGGCAGCACAACUCCCCAGGAACCAGAGACCUGUCAGCAUCCUGCAGACGCCCCCCAUUUGCCCCUGGUGCAGGAAAAAAGAACAUGCCGUAAAACUGAACAGAAUGGAUCCCCCUUAAGGAUGGAAGAGGAUGCUUCUCUAAAUGUAAUCAUGUUGGACGACUCCCAGUAUUCUGAGUCCCUCCUGAGGAGUAGUAGUGGUCCCCAGUGCCUGCAAAGCGGCGAGCAGAGUCCCAUACUCUUGUUGGGGAGUCAAGACGUGGCUGGCAGCUGCCGGGAGAUGAGUUCCCUCACCUGUUCCCAAAGUCCUUUGACAUUCUCGCCUUUGAGGAGUCCUCUGCCUUCCGUGAAUCAGGAUUCUCCUUAUCCUAAGAGUCCCACAUUCCCUAAAAGAAAGAACGAGGGGAACCGCUUGAGGAGGACAUUCUCAAGGAGAGACACGGUACACCGAAAUCGAGCCGACGGAGGCGAGAGCUCCUCAGCGGACCUCUCCAGCAGUGAUGGAAGAGGGAAGCAGGGCAGCACACCUCCCCAGGAACCAGAGACCUCUUGGCAUUGCGCAGCAGCCCCCCGAGAGGACUCGAACACCCCUCUCAGCUGCUCCUCGACACCGGUGGCUACAGAGGGGGCAGGCAGCAUGCCCCGGGGAGAGGGCGCGGUGCACUAUUACUGGGGUGUCCCCUUCUGCCCCCAGGGUUUGAACCCAGAUGAUUACACCAAGGUGAUCCUGUGCCAGCUGGAGGUGUAUGAGAAGAGCCUGAAGCAGGCACAGAGGGGGCUGCUGCGCAAGGCAGAGUGGGGGGAGCCCGUGCUCACAGGCCCCCCUGCAACACACCCCUCCCGCAGGACCAGGCUGUCCCGACUGAGCAAGGGGGCAGGUAAGAGCCGGAGCUUUCAGGACUCUCAGAGCCCUCGGGACAGCGAGCAGGAGGGAGAAGAGGAGGAGAGCUCUCAGCAGGACAAUGAGGGCAGAGAGAGAAGAGAGGAGGAGGAGCAACAGGAAGAGGAGAUGUCCAACUCGCAGCAGCAGGCAGCAUCUUCAGCAAUGAUCAGAGCAGAAGGCACCACGGAGACCUGGCUGAACCUGAGAAGGAGACGCGGCCUGAGGGAGGAGAGGAGCCCCAGAGAGCCAGAGGAGCAGCAGAAACAGAGAGAAGAGGAGGAGGAGAAGAUGGACUUGGACAUGUGUCCAGAAACCCAGCUCAGUGAAGAGUCCAGCCAGCCUCUGCUUAAAGAUAGUCCUGCACGGACACAGUCCCUGGAGGAUGUUGUGGAGAAGCUGGGCUCAGCCCCCGUGUCACAGAGAGCACAGCGUGUGGAGUGUCCAAUCUGCAUGCAGAGCUUCCCACAGAACCGCAUUGAGAUGCACGCAGCCUACUGUGAUGGAACCAGGGAAUCAGAAGAGCUGGUGGUGGAGGAGGAGGAGGAGACAGCCUCACAGGUGAUGAGCCUGAGACGAAGCAUCAGGAAAGCAGACUCCUCGGAUGCUGCUGAACCCAGUCCAUCCUGCUCUGACAGAUCAGCUCAGAAGGAGAAGUGCUACAUCUGCCAAGACUGGAUUUCAGUAAAGGAGUACCAGAGCCACGUCGACAACUGCAUCCGCAGGGGCAAAAACUGGAAAAGCAAGAAGCUCCUGGCUGCCUUAGAGCAUUCAGAACGUAAAGAUUCAGGAAAUGCAGAGGUUGGCACUUCAGAUUCCUUUUUCAACCACAGAGAAGACGGCGGGCUUGUCUCCUGCCUGGAUGUUGAGGAGCAGGAGCCUGGCAGCGGUGGAGACGGGCCUGCUUGCCCCUUCCAGCUGAGCGAUUCUCCCAUCAGAUCCUAUGUGCCCAUCUCCCAAGCCACGGACUGCCUCGUUGACUUCAAAAAGCAACUAACAGGGCCGACUGAGGGGCAGAAGAGGAAGAGAAAGAGAGGAAGAUACAGAUGAACAACUUCAUUACCAAAAUAGGAAAGAUCUUGACAGCCAGGAAUCAUUCAUUCCUCCUCCAUGGAAGAGAACAUGUUCAGCCAGCGCCUGCAGGCAGCUCUGCUCUCGCUGGCCCCGGAGUGCGACGUCUCCUUCCUGCUCUCGGAGGACGGCAGUGGGAAGGGCGCUGCCAUGGUGACGGCAGUGACCGAGAGGCUGGCCAAUGGACCGCACCUCGUUGACAAUGCCACUCAGGAGGAGUGAACAGCAGGAAGUGGCAGCGUGUGUGGAGAGGGAGACACGCUGCACGCAGUACAAACCUGCUCACUACAACACUCACAAACAGAAAGUGAAAUGAGCACAACAUGAUCCUUUAUUAUAUGAAGUAUGAAGCCUACAAGCAACAGGGGAACCCUAAGGGGUAUUAUUGAGAGGGCUGCGCUAAUUAAUGCUGCUAAUGAUUUUCACCUCUGGAGGUCAAAAAAAACACAAUUAAAAAAACUCCCUUUUUUACAACCA